CGAGUCGGUGGACCUUUGUCUUUGAUCAUCUUCUAGAUUAGUAUGAGCAGCGAGCGAGUGAACAGGAGCCUGGUGACAAUAAGGGAUGACAGGCGACGAGGUUGGAGGCAGGAAGGACACACUCGAUAAGUUUCAUCAGCCUGCGUGUCAGUACGCUCUUGCUGAUGGGGACCAGCAACCGAGAAAAAGCCAGACUGGGGUGGCGCUGCUGGUGUGGGAAUUGUGAGGAGCUUCUGGAGGAGGGGAAUGUGGACCACCAGCUCCUCAGGACUGAAGCUGCUGACCCAAGACUGAAGAAGCUGAGGCCACAGAGGGAGACUCGUGCUCACCUGGGAAGAACAAGCAGCUACAGCAUCACCUGUGAGCAUGCAUGAGCCUGAGGAAAUGAGUCAGGAGAAAGCAAGGACCUCAAAGUGAUAGCGAGAGUGCUGGGUGAUCCAAACAAUGGGACGAGAAGAGGUUCCCCAUCCCCCUCCCCACCCCCGUACCGUUGAUUUCUUACAUAAUCUUAUAUAAUGCAACAAAAUG